rnacentral:rRNA from 1 species
GGAUCCAAGCGUUAUCCGGAAUUACUGGGCGUAAAGAGUUGCGUAGGCGGCAUUGUAAGUAGGUAGUGAAAUCCUGGGGCUCAACCCUUUAAACAUUACUUAAACUGCAAAGCUAGAAUAUAGAAGAGGUAGCUGGAAUUCCUUGUGUAGGAGUGAAAUCCGUAGAUAUAAGGAGGAACACCGAUGGCGUAGGCAGGCUACUGGUCUAUUAUUGACGCUAAGGCACGAAAGCGUGGGUAGCAAACGGGAUUAGAUACCCCGGUAGUCCACGCCGUAAACUAUGGAUGCUAGCUGUUACUCGUAUCGACCCGAGUAGUAGCGAAGCUAACGCGUUAAGCAUCCCGCCUGUGGAGUACGAGCGCAAGCUUAAAACAUAAAGGAAUUGACGGGGACCCGCACAAGCGGUGGAGCGUGUUGUUUAAUUCGACGGUAAGCGAAGAACCUUACCCAGGCUUGACAUCCUGCCAACUUUGCCGAAAGGCGAGAGUGCUUUAUUGAGCCAAGUGACAGGUGUUGCAUGGCCGUCGUCAGCUCGUGUCGUGAGAUGUUUGGUUAAGUCCAUCAACGAGCGCAACCCUUGUCAUUAGUUGUAUUUUUCUAAUGAGACUGCCCCGGCAACGGGGAGGAAGG